GAGUGGUUAGCUCAGACGGUAGAGCGUCGAGUGUAAUGAGCUCGCAGGUCGGGAGUUCGAUCCUCCCACCACUCGCCA
rnacentral:tRNA from 1 species